rnacentral:lncRNA from 1 species
GUAAGCCCCUCCACCCAGAGAGACGCACAGCAAGCUGGAAUCUAUCCUUGAAAGCACUCUGCAUGUCAGGACAGGGAACACACAACUGUGCGCACCUUCCAUGGAAAGCUGUUUCAUCAUGUCACCCAGAAAAAGGAAAUAUUUAGAACAGCUUAUCAAUUGAGAAAGCUUGUCUUUGGGGAGCUGAGAAGAAACCAGGCAAAAACCCAUGUGAACACAGUGUGAACAUGCAGACUCCACACAGACAGAUGCCUGAGGCAAGCCUGGGAUUUUGUGCUAUGAGGCUGCUAAAUGCAUAAUGACAAAUGAUAUAAUAACAUGAUAGUUCAGGCCACUGAGCUCCAUCUGCCAUUCAACUUUAAUGGAUUCCUCAAAGGAGACAUCCCUCUCAGCUGCUACCACAAGUACUGCAUUCCUGUGAAGGUAUGAGAUGACU